ACCUACGGGACGCAGCAGUGGGGGAUAUUGGACAAUGGGGGAAACCCUGAUCCAGCGACGCCGCGUGAGUGAAGAAGUAUUUCGGUAUGUAAAGCUCUAUCAGCAGGGAAGAAAGAAAUGACGGUACCUGAGUAAGAAGCCCCGGCUAACUACGUGCCAGCAGCCGCGGUAAUACGUAAGGGGCAAGCGUUAUCCGGAUUUACUGGGUGUAAAGGGAGCGUAGACGGAGAAGCAGGUCUGAAGUGAAAGCCCGUGGCUUAACCACGGGACUGCUUUGGAAACUGUUUGACUAGAGUGCUGGAGAG
rnacentral:rRNA from 1 species